AUAGCAAAACCCUCCGGCAUCUUUCUGGAUCUUUCUGGCAUUUCUCUGGGGAAUGUACGAUUUCAGUUGAUUCCGGCAAAUUAAUGGCAACGUGGGAAUAAUGCCAGAGAUAUUCUGGCUUUUCACUGGAAUGCCACCCAAAUAACAAAAUCGGUGGUGCAGGAGGGCGGAGCUACAGAUACUUUAUGGUUCUUUCCCGGCAAGUUGGAAUAUUACCAGAAAACAUUUUGUUCGGGUGGGGGGGCUUUUUUUUAAAACCUAGGGCCCAAGGCAAAGAUGACAGCGGCCCUGCCCUACGGAGACGGUUGACACGCAUGCUCAUUUAGGUGAGACCGACUUCAUCCUAGGAAACUUUUCGGCGGGACAGUAGGCCUACAGUAGUUUGGUAACGAACCUGGACUCGAUCUACUACUGAACUAGGAUAUUGUGCUGUGUAAAUAAUUUGCAUUGAGGAGAGUCCAUCAGCUCACUAACACGGGUGAGGGACAGGGACCAAAGAGGAGGCUCUACAACAUGAGGAAAGACGGCGAUCCUCAAGCAGUCAGUCCAUGAGCCCACGUCUUCAGGCCAGGGGCCCGAGAGAAAUUUCCAGUGACAUGGAUCAACAGAGAUCCUCAAACAGUCAGUCCAUGUGCCACGUUCCAGCCAGGGACCAAAAGGGGGACUUUCGUCAUGGGGCCAGACAGACAUCCUCAAGCAGUAAGUUGAUUUACAUGGAUGCAUUCUGAAGUUGAAUUGAAGUAGUUAUAUUGUUGUACGCUGGCUACUAUUCAAUGUGUCAAAGUGAAAUGUAUUAAUUGUUGUCCCAUGAAAAAAUGAACUGUAUCAAAUCUCAAUGUAUCGUUCCAGGGAUAAGAGUUCAAGAAUGUUGUUGCAGGUGAAAUGAUCAUUGAAAUUUGCUGAUUCAA